rnacentral:sRNA from 1 species
GACGACUGGGACCGUCGGCUGUGCAGGACCUACCUGGCUGAAUACAUCCGGACGGAGAUGCUGGAAGGAGACGUCCUGCUGGCCCCCGGCUUUCAGAUCCCCCCCAACCUGGACUACAAGGUGAAGGCCAUGCUGGACGACAUCCUGGAGAAGAUUCCGGAGACUUUCAACAUGGCUGAGAUCAUGGCAAAGGCAGCGGAAAAGACCCCCUACGUGGUAGUCGCCUUUCAAGAAUGUGAAAGAAUGAACAUCCUGACCAACGAAAUGCGCCGUUCGCUGAAGGAGCUGAACCUGGGGCUGAAGGGAGAACUGACCAUCACGACCGACAUGGAAGAUCUGUCCACGGCUCUCUUCUAUGACACCGUGCCUGAUACGUGGGUGGCCCGGGCCUACCCCUCCAUGAUGGGCCUGGCGGCC